rnacentral:lncRNA from 1 species
UUCAGUUCCAAAAGUCUCAGGGAAGAACUGAUUGGUUUGCUGGGUAAGAAUUCUGCCAAUAUUCAAUAGCCAAUACUAUGUGGUCAGGAGGUGGGAUCUCAUGGUAUGGAGAAGAUGAUUCAUCCCUGUGGAUGAAGUGGUGCUGGGGUGGGAAGGGAAAGAAACCAUAGGUCUGUGAUAUUCAUGCUUUCCUUUUUCUGGAAAUCCCUCUUUCUCUUAUUUCUGCCACCUGUGUUCAAACGAUUCUCCUGCCUCAGCCUCUCGAGUAGCUGGGAUUACAGGUGCACGUCACCAUGCCCGGCUAAUUUUUUGUAUCUUUAGUGGAGACAGGGUUUCACCAUACUGGCCAGGCUGGAAACUGCACCUCUUAUUUUAUUUUAUUUCAUUAUUUUUUUGAGACAGGGUCUUGUUCUGUCAUCCAGGCUGGAGUGCAGUGGCGAUCACGGCUCAUUGAAACCUCUGUCUCCUUGGCUCAAUCAAUCCUCCUACCUCAGCCUCCUGAGUAGCUGAGACCACAAGCACCCGCCAUCACACCUGGCUAAUUUUUUGUAUUACACCUUCUCGCAUAAUGUAGUGAAGACCCCUCUACCAUCGUGGCUGGGCCUUGGACGUUAGUGACGAGAGUGAAGACAUCCUGCCAGAAGUUCAUCCAUUUAGGCCCUGAGUACUGCAGGAAGGAGUGGGAGACAGAAGUAGGGAAAAAGGAGCCUUGGCACAAUGCCAAGGAUCAGGAGGGGCGAUCACCCACUGGGAUGACAAGAGCUGCGGGGCUUUUGCCUGCGUUACGGAGAAAAAUGCUGAGAGACCAGUGAUUCAGGGCUGAGUGCACAAGUUUUACUGCCAAAUGGGAAACCCAAUCCAGUAUAGUUAGACUGCGAAGAUGAAGUUGGGGGAGGAGAAAGGCAGUGGGUCUUGUCAAGCCAAGAUUCCACCCGUGGUCUGGGUCACUUAUCAGACAAGCGGUACCUCUAGCCUUGAUCGGCUAGCGAUUCCUGGACUUGUGACCUGAGCCUGCUGGCUACCCUGGGUGGGAUUUGAGAAUAAGCCUUAUCUACUGGGCCAGCCAGGAACGGCUGUGGCUGGAGACCGCAGUACUGUAUCGGGGCCCUGAAUGUCGGAGCUGUGCUUUGAAGCUGUGCCCCGGACUGCUGGUCUGGCAGGGCCUGGGUGGGGAAGAGGAGGCCUGCAGAGAAAAGUUGCAACCCAGAGGUCAGGGCAGCUCAUCUUUGGUUGCUAAAACUGCGUGAAGGGCAGCAAAGUCGGGAACCUCGCACGUGCCAGUGUGGAGAGCAGGCCACCUCACUCCAGCACUCCAGGCUUUUGAGACUUCCUUCCUGCAUCUGGACACCAUCCCAAGCCAAGAGCACCAACUGAGAGUUGGACUUUGAUAGAAGACAGAAAAAUACAGUUAACAGGAAAUUUAAGAACACUCUUGCCCCACAUCCAAGCUGGGCAGGGGGUUUAGGAAUAAGACCAGUUACAGCAAGUUUUAUUUAUUUAUUUAUUUUUAUUUUUAUUUUUUUUUUUUGAGUUGGA